UGGUAGCCGCAUAUGUGAGACUGUCUCAGUAAGGAGGAGAACACUCCCAGUGCAGGCCCCCUUUCCAUCUGGCAGGAGAACGCUGCAGAGAGGAAGCUCAAGGUGCACAGAGCAGUAACCGUUUCCUCCAGGAUUAGCGCCUCCCCUGAUCGUGGCCAGAGACCAGCAAAGCAAUCACCAGGAGCACGGCUGUAGUCCUGUCUCCAGGCCCCUGGACAGCAGUGAGGGAUUCGGGGAAGGUAAAUUGAGGUCAGCAGAGGCGGUGGGAGUUGGUACCUUUGGACGACGCCAGGGAGCACGCGGGAGACACAGCGUGAAACGUCCCACCUGGAGUGGGAGGAGGCAGCUGCAGCCCCAGCGCUGUAAGCCCGGCUCCACGAAGUCUAGCCGACAUCUGGAAAGGAUAUCAGGAGACACAGGCGGGCGGGCUGGCGCACCCGGCUACCUUUGUACUUCUCGAUGCAAAUUGAAAAGCAAAACAGACAUCAAGGAUAUAUUUAUAUAACUGU